AUUGAACGCUGGCGGAAUGCUUUACACAUGCAAGUCGAACGGCAGCACGGACUUCGGUCUGGUGGCGAGUGGCGAACGGGUGAGUAAUGUAUCGGAACGUGCCCAGUCGUGGGGGAUAACGUAGUGAAAAUUACGCUAAUACCGCAUACGAUCUAUGGAUGAAAGCGGGGGAUCGCAAGACCUCGCGCGAUUGGAGCGGCCGAUAUCAGAUUAGGUAGUUGGUGGGGUAAAGGCCCACCAGGCCAACGAUCUGUAGCUGGGCUGAGAGGACGACCAGCCACACUGGAACUGAGACACGGUCCAGAGUCCUACGGGAGUCAGCAGUGGGGAAUUUUGGACAAUGGGCGAAAGCCUGAUCCAGCCAUUCCGCGUGCAGGAUGAAGGCCCUCGGGUUGUAAACUGCUUUUGUACAGAACGAAAAGGUUUCUACUAAUACUAGGAGCUCAUGACGGUACUGUAAGAAUAAGCACCGGCUAACUACGUGCCAGCCGCCGCGGUAA
rnacentral:rRNA from 1 species